UCCCAGACUCCUACGGGAGGCAGCAGUGGGGGAUAUUGCACAAUGGGGGGAGCCCUGAUGCAGCGACGCCGCGUGGGUGAAGGAGCGUUUCGGCGCGUAAAGCCCUAUCGGCAGGGAAGAAGGAGGACGGUACCUGACUAAGAAGCCCCGGCUAACUACGCGCCAGCAGCCGCGGUAAUACGUAGGGGGCAAGCGUUAUCCGGAUUUACUGGGUGUAAAGGGGGCGCAGACGGCCAUGCAAGCCUGGAGUGAGAGCCCGGGGCCCAACCCCGGGACUGCUCUGGGAACUGUGCGGCUGGAGUGCGGGAGGGGCAGGCGGAAUUCCUGGUGUAGCGGUGAAAUGCGUAGAUAUCAGGAGGAACACCGGCGGUGAAGGCGGCCUGCUGGACCGCGACUGACGUUGAGGCUCGAAAGCGUGGGGAGCAAACAGGAUUAGAUACCCCAGUAC
rnacentral:rRNA from 1 species